rnacentral:rRNA from 1 species
UACGUAGGGGGCAAGCGUUGUCCGGAUUUAUUGGGCGUAAAGAGCGUGUAGGCGGCCAUACAGGUCAGCUGUGAAAACUCGGAGGCUCAACCUCGAGACGUCGGUUGAAACCGUAUGGCUAGAGUCCGGAAGAGGAGAGUGGAAUUCCCGGUGUAGCGGUGAAAUGCGCAGAUAUCGGGAAGAACACCCGUGGCGAAGGCGGCUCUCUGGGACGGUACUGACGCUGAGACGCGAAAGCGUGGGGAGCGAACGAGG